rnacentral:snoRNA from 1 species
GAGGAGGAGUGACAGUGUCCUCUUCUAAGUGUGAAGCAAGCAGAUAGUGUUGCUUUAAUGUAAUUGCUGUCUGCUGUUGAUGACUGUUCUUUCUUUUCUGUUGGGAAGCUGGAAGAAGAGAGCACAGGCUGA